ensembl:rRNA n-R5s197 nuclear encoded rRNA 5S 197
ACCUACGGCCAUACCACCCUGAAUGCACUCGAUCUUGUCUGGUCUUGGAAGCUAAGCAGGGCGAGGCCUGGUUAGUAUUUGAAUGGGAGACCACCUGGGAAUACUGGGUGCCUGUAGGCU